GAGGGUAUAGCUCAGUUUAGAGUGUGUGCUUAGCAUGCACGAGGUCCUGGGUUCGAUCCCCAGUACUUCCA
rnacentral:tRNA from 1 species